UUAUUUUGACACACUGUUACAUUUUGUAUACAGUUUGCACACGACAACUACACACGGGCCGAGGUGUCACUUAAUUAUGGACCCUUUGCACCCAGCACUAAAUAUUUCACGGGAACUCACCUUCCAUUCUUCAUUCAUUUGGCGCCGAAUUCUCCGAGACACUAGACAGAUAACUUCGAAGCAGUAAGAAGGUAUCCACUGAUUAAAAAAAGAACAAUGCCUGCCACAUGCAAUUGCUCAGAAAG